ACUAUGUUUUAAAGAGUAAUACAAAUAAAUCAUUGAGGCGGUGAGGUGGUCGCUUUUUGAAGAUUUUGUGGGCGGCGCUCCCCGUGAAUACCCCCAACCUAGAUGCAUCAGAGAUGACUUUUUAAUUUGUAAAUGGUAUAUAAAUUGAAACGUCCAUAACUGAAACAUAAUUCUAGAAUAACAAUGAUGGACAGAAAUAUGAUUUCAAAAAUGUGUUGGACACUUUGUUGUAUGUCCGCAGUGCUAGCUAUUCCUGUAAGGAAGAGAGAUUUAACUGUAGAAGACGACCAACUGAUAUACUCGGACUUACAAGAUAACAUGUCACUCCUCGAAAUAGAAAAUGACAUGUACAAUGCUGAAAUUUUAAAACAAUAUUUGGAAUCACUAGAUACAUUAAAAAUCGAAAAUGACAUACUAUCAAGCUUACUUAACGAUCAACUGUCAAGAAAAACAAAACAACCACGAAGAUCAAGAAAACGGAAUCUACGUAUGGAUCGUAAUAGACGUUCUUUUGAUUCAAUAUCGCAUUCAACUGGUGGAUUUAGCACUGCACAAUUAACAGAGAAUCCAACUUUACGGCGGUUGCGUGAACUAGCAGCUCGACAUCAGCAGAGAUUUUUAUCAAGUACUAAUAGACCUCAUCUUCCAAAUGGUAUAGAGGUACUUUAUCCAAUUCUUCACCAAGGACAGAGAUAACUGAUUGCAGUUUUAUUUUACCAUCUGUGUUCAUUCUUGCCAUGACUUUCAAACUUACUCUAGUGAUUCACCUGUCUCAUGUAUUUAUUGGAUAUAUUUAUUGAACGUAUGUAUUUAUUGAAUAAAGUUGUUUUAAAAUAAUA